rnacentral:rRNA from 1 species
UUGAACGCUGGCGGAAUGCUUUACACAUGCAAGUCGAGCGGCAGCGCGGGGCAACCUGGCGGCGAGCGGCGAACGGGUGAGUAACAUAUCGGAACGUACCCUAUCGUGGGGGAUAACACAUCGAAAGAUGUGCUAAUACCGCAUACGACCUGAGGGUGAAAGCGGGGGAUCGCAAGACCUCGCGCGACAGGAGCGGCCGAUAUCGGAUUAGCUAGUUGGUGAGGUAAAGGCUCACCAAGGCGACGAUCCGUAGCUGGUCUGAGAGGACGACCAGCCACACUGGAACUGAGACACGGUCCAGACUCCUACGGGAGGCAGCAGUGGGGAAUUUUGGACAAUGGGGGCAACCCUGAUCCAGCCAUUCCGCGUGAGUGAAGAAGGCCUUCGGGUUGUAAAGCUCUUUCGGCAGGAACGAAACGGUGAGCUCUAACAUAGCUUGCUAAUGACGGUACCUGAAGAAGAAGCACCGGCUAACUACGU